AAUACUGUGUGGUAAAAGAAAACUGCUGCAGAUGACUCCAUUUCAAAUUGUUCAAGCUUACCCUGAUCAUUUCAGCCACGUAGCUCUCAGGGCCAGUGUACUCAGUGGAGUCUUUGACCUUCACCAGGACGAUGAAGAACAGACCUGAAACCAGAAAAGACACACAUACAGUAGAUGAACCUAAACAACACGCUUCCGACAUGGCGGAAUUAUGCUCGUGGAAAAUGGCUACAAAGGUCCGCAAACGUAUCAAUGAUGACACCAAAGAUGAGGUUCAGAACGAUGAUAAUAACCAUGAAGAAGAACAGCAGAUCAUAGAUCACCCUGGCUGCAAAGAGCGGCUCCUGGUAAACCCAAGAAAAAAAAAAACUUUGCUUUUUUGUACAUAAAUUUUGCACCCAAUUAUACAUUGGGUC